CUUUUUAUUUUAUUUUUUGUCUUUGC
rnacentral:sRNA from 1 species